AAUGAUGUUGUUGUAAUCACUCUUCAAAGGGAGAUCCACAGUAAACAAAUGUUAGCAUGUUGCCUCUGCAGCUUCUUUUGGUACCAUAUCAGGAUGGGUGAGCUGUCUCCAGUUAAGGCAAAUUAACCUGUGAAGAAACAAAGCAAAAUCCAUGCUGAAAAUGUGUGCAGAUGUGAGGCCAACAGCAGCAGCAGAAAGGCUUUGUCAACACCAGCAAAUCACUGAUUCUACCUCUGCAAGGUCAGCUUCUGAAGGCAACGUGUGUGAGACCAGAGCUCCACAACUGGUGAGGAACGUGAAUUGUCAGGAAAUAUUUAGAAAUUACACAGUGUUAGUGAAUAGGCA